CAUUCCUACGGGAGGCAGCAGUGGGGAAUAUUGCACAAUGGGCGCAAGCCUGAACCAGCCAAGUCGCGUGAGGGAAUAAGGCCCUAUGGGUCGUAAACCUCUUUUGUCAGGGAGCAAAGGCGUCCACGUGUGGACGAGAGGAGAGUACCUGAAGAAAAAGCAUCGGCUAACUCCGUGCCAGCAGCCGCGGUAAUACGGAGGAUGCGAGCGUUAUCCGGAUUUAUUGGGUUUAAAGGGUGCGUAGGCGGAGUGUCAAGUCAGCGGUAAAAUUUCGGGGCUCAACCCCGUCGUGCCGUUGAAACUGA
rnacentral:rRNA from 1 species